rnacentral:rRNA from 1 species
GAUCAUGCUCAGGAUGAACGCUAGCUACAGGCUUAACACAUGCAAGUCGAGGGGCAGCAUCAUCAAAGCUUGCUUUGAUGGAUGGCGACCGGCGCACGGGUGAGUAACACGUAUCCAACCUGCCGACAACUCUGGGAUAGCCUUUCGAAAGAAAGAUUAAUACCGGAUGGCAUAGUUUUCCCGCAUGGGAUGACUAUUAAAGAAUUUCGGUUGUCGAUGGGGAUGCGUUCCAUUAGG